GACUCGUGUUACACAAAUACAAUAUUCUGACUGGAGUAAUGAACAAUGUCCAGAAGAUGGUAGCAUUGUAUUGGAUAUUAUUGGGGAGAUGCAGAGAAAUACAAGAGGUGUUCGGGGAUCAGCUUGUCUUAUUCACUGCACCGAUGGUGCUGGACGAACUGGAGCAUUUUGCGCAAUCACAAAUUUGAUAGAGAGAUUGAAAUAUGAGAAUAAAGUUGAUGUUUUCCGCGCAGUAAAAGAUUUGCGUGAUUGCAGACAAGGAAUGGUUAAGACGUUGGAACAAUACAAAUUCUGUCAUACUGCAAUCUGCAACUACAUGAAGUCGUUCGAAAUUUAUUCUAAUUUCGAAGAAGAGAAAUGAUUGAUAAAUGUAUAAGCUGUAUAUUUCAACUACUAUUCAACCCACAUCUAAUGUAACUACAACUCAUUAUCUUCGCUCAGUAGUGGUCUAUCGAAGUGUCUAGAAUAUUUGAGGCGCCGAGCAAUCUUUAUUAAACUUUAUGUAAUUUUUUCACAUUCAUCAAACUUUAAAUAUGAUACAGAAUAUUUUAAAAUGUCCUAUCAGCUUCAUACUAUUAAUUUCAUCAGGCUUCAAUCUCUGAGUCAAUUGAGUUAUGACAUGAUAAUACUUCUAGAAAGCUAACGAGAGCGACACCCAAUCAAUAUACAAGCGCUCAAAUUAAGUGGUAGAAUUUGCCGACAAGAUGCUCUAGAUGCGCUCACACAAAAUUGAUGGAACCAAUUGUUAUUUUAACGUCAAACAAUGCGAUAACCUUCAUACAGCGGUAUGAGAUGGUUUUAAUGAAAAUAGGAUUUAUGGCUCACGCUGAUGCAAGAGUAUCUAAGGGUUGUUCCCGGAAAUCGCGGAUCGUAAUUGCCCUAACUAAAUAAUGAUUGUAAGAUUCAUACUUUGCUGCGAUUGCUUCAGAAGAGAUAUAUAUUUUAUUUUAUACUUUCUUGUCAAUGAAUCAUUUUAGUACUUUCAAAUUCCAAUUCAAUUUAUAGGAUUUAAUAUUAAGCAUUUUGAUAUUGGUGAAACUACUGUCGUAGACCAAUUUUGCACUCCAGGUAUAUAUAUAUAUAUAUUAAUUUUUGAUAUGAUGGAUUUAACAAAAGUAUAUUCGUAAUGAUAUCGAAAAAAAUUAAAACAAUUAGUUACAUAUUUUUGAAUGAAAGCUUGAUUUUCAAUUUGGUAUUUACAUAUCAAAAUUAAAUUGUCUAUUUUAAAUUUAUGUUCCACGUAUUCCGUAUAAAUGUUGUUAUACAUAAAAGUUGGUUCUCUGAUUCACCGAGAUAAGAUUCCAUUCAUUUCAUGACUACACGUGACGUCACAUUUACUAUUUCCAUACGCUACGAUGGUGUCAGACUGAAUUGUAAUUAAAUCUGAAUUUAAUUGUUGAACCUAUGAAUUAAAAAACAAGUUUUUCAUGCAAUUGUAAGAAAUUUUCACAAGUUUCUUCGUGGGCGGGAGAUCCGAACAAAAUUCUUUGGUUCCUAUAGUUGACUUAUUGCUUCUUGCUCAGCUAAGUUUCGAAGUGAUGCAAAAUUCUGUAUUUUAUGACGUUGACCGACCAUUUAAAUUAAAUAAAUUAAAUGAUCCAAAGGCCUAGCCUUCGUUAGGUACGACCAGUUUAGUAAUCCACAUGAUAUUCGACUAGGAGCGUUAUAGCAAGCGUGCUUUUUUGAUUUAUUCAUUGCUCCUAUUGUAUUAGUGUAAACUGCCUAUAUAUAUUACAAUUUGAUGAUAACUUCCACAUAUUUUCAAUUAUCUAAUAGUUUUUUUAUUUUGAUAUUUAACUGCGUAAUAUCAAGUUUCAGUUAUAUCUUUUAGCUGAUAUUGCAAAUUCGGUCUUUAAAUUUUAAUGUUUGAAAACAUCUCUCAAAAUUAUACGGCCUUAUAUUAUUGUAAGUCUAUUGUACUUAUUGUCAUAAAUGGAUGUAAUAUGUUUUGCAGAAAUAAGUGCAUUCAAUCUCAUUUUACUUUCAACAAUUUCUUGGUGCUUUGGAAAUGAAUGAGUGAUGAAAGCUUUUUUUUUUACCAAACUAGAUCUAUUCAUCGUUGCAAAUUUGAGAAGUCAAAAUAUAACGCCCUCAAUAUAUUGUCAUUACUUCAUAAGUAAAAACUUCGUCCGGUUUGUACCAUUUAUGUGCUAUUUAUUAUCCAUGGCACGGCAAU